UAUCAAGGUGCUGAGCGGAGCGCCACGACAUAACCUGAGGAGCAGACCAACCACGACCCCGCUGUUCUUCCAUCGAGUGCCGCGUUAGCUGGACUUUGCUGCUGGGGAAGCACGCAACACACCCGGAGGCGGAGACUGCAGAGCGAGGAAUACACUUUAUGCACACGCACGGAGCUAAGAGAGACGGGGGCGUUGCAACUCCCUUGCUACAGAACAUCAAAUGAGGAGCAGGGAAGUAAGGUCCGUCUUCACUCGGUGGUUUAAAUGAAAAGCCGGCGUCCUGGAGCAGAGCUCCUGCUGCUGGCACAACUAGGAAGGAUCAAGUUCCUUCCUCUCUUUGCUACUAGUUCGUUUACUCACUUCCUGUGACACUUGCUCGUCAGUCUAUGUGGAGGAGAAAAACAGCUUCCAAACUGCUGCAGAAAGGAGGCAUCCUCACCCCAGACGCCUCUUCAAGGUCACCCCUGGUAAUUCCGCAUUAGGCACUCUCUCCCCGCUCCUUUGCUCCCGCUCAGACAGACCUCCUGGCACUGCUUGGUCUUCUCCCCUACUAUGAGCGGAAUCAAAAUGUCUCCCUGAAAAAGAUGAAAACUCAAACGUAUCUGAUAAAUACCUUGGCAAAAGAGCUUUAACAAAAAUGAUUUCACGUGGGACACUGGGAGUGCAUCACCUAUUAGGAUAAACUAAGCUUUGGGAUAUAACACUGGUAUUUGCCCUGUGACUUGUAAGGAAAAGCUCUUUUUAGCAGGUUAGUCAACAGGGGUGAUCGCAUGACUUCUGUUUUGAGUAAGUUGGCAACUGUCUAAAAUAGUCAUCCUUAUUUAUUUAUAUUGAAAUUAUUUUUUGUUCUAGAUUAGUGGCUCUCUUCUGAAGAGCCUCUUGAUGUGACAGACUAUUUUCUUAGGCUCCAAAAUCACUGCAGAUGGUGACUGAAGCCAUGAAAUUAAAAGACACACUUGCUCCUUGAAAGAAAAGCUAUGACUAACCUAGAUAGCAUAUUAAAAAGCAGAGACAUUAUGUUGCUGACAAAGGUCCAUCUAGUCCAAGCUAUGGUUUUUCCAGUAGUCGUGUAUGGAUGUGAGAGCUGGACCAUAAAGAAAGCUAAGUACCAAAGAAUUAAUGCUUUUGAACUAUGGUGUUGGAGAAGACUCUUGAGAGUCCUUUGGACUGCAAGGAGAUCGAACCAGUCAAGCCUAAAGGAACACAGUCCUGAAUAUUCAUUGGAAGGACCGAUGAUGAAGCUGAAACUCCAAUCCUUUGGCCACCUGAGGUGAAGAACUGACUCACUGGAAAAGACCCUGAUGCUAGGAAAGACUGAAGGGGACGACAGAGGAAGAGAUGGUUGGAUGGCAUCACCAACUCAAUGUCUGAGUAAGCUCAAGGAGCUGGUGGUGGACAGGGAAGCUUGGUGUGCUGCAGUCCAUGGGGGUUGCAGAGAGUCGGACAUGACUGAGUGACUGAACUGAGUGGCUUGCUUACUUGACCUUUAUACUCUUAAAAAUUGAGAACCCCAAAGAACAUGUGUUUAUGAGGAUUAUGUCUAUCAACAUUUAUUGUAUUAGAAAUUAAAACUGAAAACAAUGUAAUACAGUCAUACACUUCA